UUCACAAUUUGAAAUAUCUUUUUUGUUCGUAUCAGUUACGAGUUCAAAAGUUCGAAUCUCUAGUCCCUACGAGUUUAAAUCAUGAACUCGAAACUGAAGAACCCGAACUCGAAAUACUUAUGGACAACUUGCAAGAUGCAGCUCAGUCAAACAAGGCAGGAAUCUUUUGGAGGUGGGCCAAUUGGUAUCUUUCUUGAUGACAUCAAUUGAAUAUUAUAAGAGGAGUCUCUGAAGCUCAGAAGCCCAGAAGCCCAGAAGCCAUGGUCGUGAAGCCGCCGGACGACGAUUCAAAUUACCGAUCAAUUACUUUCUACCAUGACAAAAUCUGUUGGAACGGGAAGCAAGUCGACGAUCCUAAUGCAAUCGAUUUGGACAUUGACAAGCAAUUCCUUGGCCUUCCUCUAUCAAGUCAGCCGUAUUCAACUUCUUCCUGAAUUUUUGAAGGUGGAAUGAUGAAUCUAUUGUUGGUUACUGGCCCAGAGAAUAGCUGCAUCGGAUAUGAGGAGAAAUUGCUCUGUGGCUCUUGGCAAUGUCAACAUCAGUAAAAAUCGUUACACGGAUGUAUUAACCCUUUGAUGAGACUAGAGGCGUACUUGACUCUUGUAAGGAUUACAGACCUUCUGCAUGGGGUUAUAUCAAUGCAAGCUUUAUUUCCGUAAGUGCAACAAUUGAUGUGCUUCUACUUAGAUAAUAUUUCAGUACAAGUUCUCUUUUGACUUUCCUCUCCAUUGUCUAUUUGAAGAUUAGUUAUUACCACACAAGGUCCAUUACCACACACCUUACGAGGAUUUCUGGAUGCGAUUUCUCGUGUGGCUCCUCGGGGCUUUGUGUUUAUUUAUUUGCUGUUCUUGAGAAGUUCUUGGCUGUUCAACGCACCAAUGUUUCAUAUGAAUUUUGAAUUGUACAUUGUUGUAUCGAUAGUGCUACUGUUUGGGUGUGACGACUUGGAGCUUCUUUCUGCAGAAGAGCUACAUACACCAAAUUCACUUCUUGUUAUUUUUAAUGGACGUAUCCUUGGCAAACAUCGGAGGCCUCAGGAGAAGAUAUUCUUGAAAUCUAGUUUUUAUAGUUUACAUUCCAUUCUCUAUGUGAUUGAAAUAUAGCAUGUUGAUUAAAAGUUUCCUACUGCCUACUUGUUUCACACUUGUCGGCUUCUCUUCCUUUAGUACUUCGCUACAGGUAUGAGAAUGCUGAGGAGAGCUGGAGAAACUGGCGAGUUUGUCAACGCCUUUGUGAAUGACAAGCAGGCUUUUGGAUGUAAGAAUUGGCGAGCCUUCUGUGACCGUGAAUGCUGUUAGUGAAUCUAUUAGUUCUCAUAUGUGCCGCUUAUUUGACCUUACUUACAGAAAGACGUGGUGAUUGGGAGGAUUCCUAUAUGCUAUGAAAACGUUGCUGUGCUUUACCCCAUUUCAGUUGUCUCCAAUUGUAUAAUUCUUCUGGAGUUUUGCAGGUUUUUGGAUGUAAGAAUUGGCGAGCCUUCUAUGACCGAGAAUGCUGUUAGUGAAUCUAUUAGUUCUCAUAUGUGCCGUUUAUCUGACCUUAUGUACAGUUCCUUCGUGAAUGUUAUUAUUAUUUAGUUGAAUACUGCAGAAAGACGGUGGUGAUUGGGAGGAGGAUGCCUAUAUGCUAUGAAGACUUUGUUGUGUUUUAUGUGAUUUCAAAGUCUCCAAUUAUCUAUGCAAGGUGAUGCAACCAAGCAUCAAAGGAUAAAAUCUCCAAGAAUUCUCAAAAGAACUUUUAUUAUGAUUCAAAAAGCAAGUUAAUCACAAGAUAUCAACCUUCUAUUUUAGUGGAUUGAUAGGUUUACCUUGCAUAUAUAAUAUGUUCCACCUUUAUUGUAAAACUGAAGUUCAUCAGAAGAGGGCUCUUAAUUGGAACCAGUCAACUGUAAUCUCACUUUGUUCCACCUUUAUUGGACCAAUUCCUAUGGUUAUUUGCAGAAUUUGAGAGUGUACAUAAAGCUUCCAAUUUAUCUCGGCAUGUCUUGGUUAUUUUCUGCAAGAACACAGCUAAGAAUCUUUAUUGCUGGGUUUGUUUAGUGUGAAAAUACCACACAUUGCUUCCCUGUGGCUCGCCAAUGUGACUUGUUUAUUUGAGCUAUCUUAGCAGAACCUUCUGUGGGCUCAUUAUCUUACUACCCUUUGGCGUUCCAUACCUACGAUUCGACCUAUGGAAAGUAGAGAUUAUGAAUAUGCAAGUUAUAAUGAUUGAAGGGCAGUAUUGAUUUCUUUUUCUGUAACAGGUUUGGAAGAGCGUAAAAGAUUUGUGCAAACAUAUAUGGGUGCUAAAGGUCAAGCAGCCCAGUGAUGCUGAGGUGGAGAAAUUAGUCCAAGAUGUUGAGAAGUAUACUCUUGCUAGCCAUCUUGUUUGGGGUCUCUCGGGAAUAAUAUCGGAGCAUGUAACUUAAGCCUGAUUUGUCGUUGUUGCUUCCCAGUAAUAAAUGCAUUUGUUACAAGCAGCAGAGAGGCAACAAAUAGUAAAACAGUUAUUAAGAUGGAAAAUGAGAUGAUCUAUGUCCAGCUUAAUAUAUUUACCACACCGAAGUGGGUGGGGGUAUGCUUUGUCAUGCGAUACUCCAGAAGGUGAGGCUUGUGAACUUGUGAAAAACUUGGCUCUGAUGACUCGUGUAACGACAAAGGCCCAUUAAUUUCUUCUAUGGGUUGAAUAGAAGAGUCAGGUUAUUCCCAUAAUUAUCUUCUUUAGGAACAAUUGCUCGAGAUGAAAGAAGAUGUGUUGGUUGUUAUCACUCAGUUGACACGAAACAAUUGUCAAAUAAAAAAGAAUUGUUCGAGAUGAAACAAUUGUUCGAUCUUGUUGGAGUUAAUUAACAAUUGUUCGAGAUGGAAGAGAUUCAAUAUGAAGGAUGGAUGAUGACAUGUACCGGGCUAGAGUCUUCAGUUCAAGCUUCUAGGAAUGAAGGAUCAUGAGCUAGACCAAGACGGUGUCUGCAUAGGCAAAGGUUGUGCAUGAAAUCUGGCUAGAGCCAGGGCAGCAGUAUUUUGAAGGAGAUCCUUUAUCUCAUGGUAAUUAUUUUCUUUCACUCAUCUUUCUUUAAUUCUCAAGUAAUACAUUAAACUAACAGCACAACAACUUGUUAAACGCAAAAGUAAAGUUAAGAGAUUUAUUAGAAGGUCGAUAUAGACAAGGACAACAGAAUCCUAAAAUGUCAAAUAUCUAACUCGAGAAAAAUACCGAUAUUCUAUCUCUUAAUCUCUUGCUUGCAAAAGAAAAGUCAAAUUCUCACUAAAAUGAAACAUUGCUAGCUGAUAAAUGUCGGGGAACAUUAAAGAGGUUCACAAAUGUUUCACCCACACAGGAACUAAAACAGCCAACGAGGAGUUUUGGUCAGGAAAGGAAUUAUUUGAUGUUGAUAAUAAAUGUUAGUGUAGGUUGUGAUCAUGAAUAUCUGAUAUUUGAGUUUUAGGAGUUUUGUAGUUAUUAACGCCACAUGUAUAUGGAUAAAUAGGAGUUUU